rnacentral:rRNA from 1 species
GACGAACGCUGGCGGCGUGCUUAACACAUGCAAGUCGAACGGAAAGGCCCUUCUUUUGUGGGGUGCUCGAGUGGCGAACGGGUGAGUAACACGUGAGUAACCUGCCCUUGACUUUGGGAUAACUUCAGGAAACUGGGUCUACUACCGGAUAGUGCUCCCUUUUGCAUGUGGUGGUUGGAAAUUUUUGGCGGUUGGGGAUGGGCUCGCGGCUUAUCAGCUUGUUGGUGGGGUAGCGGCUUACCAAGGCUUUGACGGGUAGCCGGCCUGAGAGGGUGACCGGCCACAUUGGGACUGAGAUACGGCCCAGACUCCUACGGGAGGCAGCAGUGGGGAAUAUUGCACAAUGGGCGGAAGCCUGAUGCAGCAACGCCGCGUGCGGGAUGACGGCCUUCGGGUUGUAAACCGCUUUCGCCUGUGACGAAGCGUGAGUGACGGUAAUGGGUAAAGAAGCACCGGCUAACUACGUG